GUGGGGAAUAUUGCGCAAUAGGGGAAACCCUGACGCAGCGACGCCGCGUGGAGGAUGAAGGUCUUCGGGUUGUAAACUCCUUUUCUCAGGGAAAAUGAUGAUGGUACCUGAGGAAUAAGCCACGGCUAACUCUGUGCCAGCAGCCGCGGUAAGACAGAGGUGGCGAGCGUUGUUCGGAAUUACUGGGCUUAAAGGGCGAGUAGGCGGUGAGGUAAGUCUGAGGUGGAAUCCUAUGGCUCAACCAUAGAAUUGCCUCGGAAACUGCUUUACUUGAGUCAGUGAGGGGAGGGCGGAAUUCCUGGUGUAGCGGUGAAAUGCGUAGAUAUCAGGAGGAAGGCCUGUGGCGAAGGCGGCCCUCUGGCACUGAACUGACGCUGAGGCGCGAAAGCGUGGGUAGCAAACAGGAUUAGAUACCCGAGUAGUCC
rnacentral:rRNA from 1 species